rnacentral:rRNA from 1 species
AACGAACGCUGGCGGCAUGCCUAACACAUGCAAGUCGAACGAGACCUUCGGGUCUAGUGGCGCACGGGUGCGUAACGCGUGGGAACCUGCCCUUAGGUUCGGAAUAACUCCCCGAAAGGGGUGCUAAUACCGGAUAAUGUCUUCGGACCAAAGAUUUAUCGCCUUUGGAUGGGCCCGCGUUGGAUUAGCUAGUUGGUAGGGUAAAAGCCUACCAAGGCGACGAUCCAUAGCUGGUCUGAGAGGAUGAUCAGCCACACUGGGACUGAGACACGGCCCAGACUCCUACGGGAGGCAGCAGUGGGGAAUCUUGGACAAUGGGCGGAAGCCUGAUCCAGCAAUGCCGCGUGAGUGAUGAAGGCCUUAGGGUUGUAAAGCUCUUUUACCCGGGAUGAUAAUGACAGUACCGGGAGAAUAAGCUCCGGCUAACUCCGUG